GGGAGUGUAACUCAGUGGUAGAGUACAUGCCUAGCAUGUUCAAAGCCCUGGGUUUGAUCCCUAGCACCACUA
rnacentral:tRNA from 1 species